rnacentral:lncRNA from 1 species
AAUACAUAAUUCUUAUAUAUCAAUAACCAAAAAAGCAUUUCAAUACAUAUUCUUGUGAUAUUUUUAAUCAGAUUCAUCAUUUUUAUAUAUUUGUACAUAAAAAUCAGCACGAUACAUAGCAUUUCUACGUUAUUUUGUUAGUCUCAUGAUGUAUCUUCAUAUCCUUCACCGUCCCAUCAUUAAUCAAGUAUAUUAGUAUGUAUCAACAACAUGAAAAGCUAUCAAAUGCAUAGGUUUCGUAGAAUUCUCUGAACGAAAGAAACAAAUAUUUCCGAUUAGAUCUGGCCAGAUAUCAACCUAUAUCAUCGAAAUUCUCUGACAUUCAUUGAAAAAGAUGGAAGUUUUGGAAUGUUUUCGUUUUGAUGGUAGUUCACCGUUGUUGGGUUGCUUGGAGUAGUGAGUUGAUGGUUGUUUGGUCAGAGAUGUUGGAGAAAAUGGUGUUGGGUCUCGUUGGUCGGAGAAGAAAGGAAGAAGGAUGGAGUGAGGGAGGUCGAAGCUCGGUGAUUUUUUGAUGAAUGAGUGGCUGGAAACAGAGAAGACGACGGAGGGAUUAGUUUUGUGGAACCUGCUGGUUGUGGAUAAUAAAAUGAAUCGGAUUUGGGAUUUGGGGUUAGGGAGUAUUAUGUAUGCCAUGGUUUAAAGAGAAAAAGUAAAAAAAACAAAGGAUUUAUUUAAUUAUUUUAAAGGAUUAAGGUUUUAAGUAAUGAUAAUAAAUUAAGAUAUAAUAUUCUGUAACUUGUCCGAAAGUUUUU